AAUGCCCCCUCUUAGUUGGAUUGCAGGGACCCAGGUUCCAUUCAGCACAAGAUUAUUUGUUCUGGGAGAUGGCUAAGCACAUAAGAAGCUGGGUCCAUACAAGUUUGAUGAU